GACGUAGGGCGCGAGCGUUGUCCGGAUUUAUUGGGCGUAAAGAGCUCGUAGGCGGCUUGUCGCGUCGACUGUGAAAACCCGCGGCUUAACUGCGGGCUUGCAGUUGAUACGGGCAGGCUAGAGUUCGGUAGGGGAGACUGGAAUUCCUGGUGUAGCGGUGAAAUGCGCAGAUAUCAGGAGGAACACCGGUGGCGAAGGCGGGUCUCUGGGCCGAUACUGACGCUGAGGAGCGAAAGCGUGGGGAGCGAACAGG
rnacentral:rRNA from 1 species